rnacentral:misc_RNA from 1 species
CCAAACUUGGUCAUUUAGAGGAAGUAAAAGUCGUAACAAGGUCUCCGUAGGUGAACCUGCGGAGGGAUCAUUAACACGUAUCCACGUAUCAACCAAUCGCGAACUUGGGGCUUCAUUGCUCUAAUCCGACCUAUUUGCAGCAGCUGUGAAGAGCAGUUGUGUAGUGGGUACUGGUCUGAUAGGAAAGAGAGAGUAGCUGCAUUUGAAUCGUGGUUGUGAAAUAAUCUUCCCGAGGAUUGACGCGCGAAACCUUUCUUCUCAGUUCAGUACGACCUCUCAAGCACCAGAGGGUUAAGCCUCGAGGUUGCUGCUUUUAGGCCAUUUUUCUUUUUUACCACUACGAAUAAACCCAUUUCACACUUUAAUCACAAAUUGCCUGAUCCCUUCAGUGGUAGAGAGAAAUCUCUAUGAUAUUGAUGAUAGAUAUUCUAACUAAAGCACAACUCUUAGCAACGGAUAUCUUGGUUCUCGCAUCGAUGAAGAACGCAGC